UCGGGAGGAGCCAGCCGGGACGGCGACGGGUUUUGGCCCCGUCAUGACGUGGUUCGACUCCACGCUCCCGAACCA
rnacentral:tRNA from 1 species